GGGUUCAUAGUUCAAUGGUAGAAUAAUCGUCUCCAAAACGAUUGAUCGAGGUUCGAGUCCUCGUGAACCCG
rnacentral:tRNA from 1 species